GACGAACGCUGGCGGCGUGCCUAAUACAUGCAAGUAGAACGCACAGUUUAUACCGUAGCUUGCUACACCAUAGACUGUGAGUUGCGAACGGGUGAGUAACGCGUAGGUAACCUGCCUGGUAGCGGGGGAUAACUAUUGGAAACGAUAGCUAAUACCGCAUAAUAUUAAUUAUUGCAUGAUAAUUAAUUGAAAGGUGCAAUUGCACCACUACCAGAUGGACCUGCGUUGUAUUAGCUAGUAGGUGAGGUAACGGCUCACCUAGGCGACGAUACAUAGCCGACCUGAGAGGGUGAUCGGCCACACUGGGACUGAGACACGGCCCAGACUCCUACGGGAGGCAGCAGUAGGGAAUCUUCGGCAAUGGACGAAAGUCUGACCGAGCAACGCCGCGUGAGUGAAGAAGGGUGUCGGAUCGUAAAGCUCUGUUGUAAGAGGAGAACGGGUGUGAGAGUGGAAAGUUCACACUGUGACGGUAUCUUACCAGAAAGGGACGGCUAACUACGUG
rnacentral:rRNA from 1 species